GGGGCCGGGGCGGAGGGGGUAGAGCCUCUUGGGAGCUUUUGCUCUGCGUGGUCCGACAGCGAGAAGGGGGCGCGCUGUGGCAACCUCCCCCUGGAGUCCCCGGGAAUGUUGGGAGACGUAGAAACGUCCACGCUGAGAGAAUCGUGGCUGGGCGGCUGGACCGCCUCCUGCAAACCCUUCGGAGGAGGAGGAGGAUGGCGGCUGCAACCUGGGCAAGUGCCCCGACCGGAAGUGGGACCGUGACCUCCAGGGGCAUAGGUCAAGGUUCAACCACUGAGCCACACCAGCCAGGCCCAACGUCCCCAUUUGAUUUAAAAGGAUUCUUUCUCUCUCUUUUUUUUCUUUUCUUUCCUUUUCUUUUUGGUGUGACUCAGCCACACUUGCCAGCAAAGCUGGAAUGGAAUCCCUCACAAUUCCUUGUCCGAACAGCUUGCAACUUUGCAGAUAAAAUCCAUAAAACGCCCGCUGAGCUCCCAUUCCUGGGGAAUUCAAACUUCCCACAGGCCUCGCUACAAUGUAUUUAGCUGUGGUUCCGAGAACGUGGUGUUUUUUUUUUAAAUAUAUGUAGUCAGGGCUUCCCAACUAUAGCCAACUAUU